CUGCUGCACUGGGGUGCUGCUUGUGGCUUUGGGAUAGAUGCUACUACAGAGGGAGCUAGCAGCCCAAGUUCUCAGAUGCCAUAACAUGGAAUUACCUGGCUUUCAGCUCCUUGCAGGAUGUGGUGGUCCUUUAAGUCCUCUGCUAAAGAAGGACAUCUAUAUAUGGAGAAACCCAUUGCAUUACUACUGGAAGAUGAGAGAAGCAGACAACAAAUUGUAUUGGUGCCCAAGUGAUGAAGGUUUCAAGAAAUUCCAAAAGUUAAAUUCUUCCAACUUUCUGAAAGCUGUCUUUCAUGAUAUGAAUCAUCAAACAGACAAGAGUGGGGACAGAAAAUGUAAUUUUUUCCUUGCAAGAAAAAGGCAGUGCUCACCAUGAUCUGCCCAUUCAUUCAAGCAUCGUUCUUUUCUUUUCUGGUUCUUGAGUUUGUCUUUUGUGUGAAACUUGGAUGUAAUGACAUUAGUCUCCUGUACAUGCACAUGUUUUAAUCUUUUUGUCUAUAAUGUGUACUGAUAGCUCAGUUAAAUGACUUUGAUUGAGAAAUUACAAUGAACUGUGUAACAAGGUCACUUCUAGCUUGACCUUGUCAUGACAUCUGCUCAAAAUAGUAAGAUAACUAUUUCUCGUGUGGAUUGAGAAGCAAUUUUAUGUUCAUCACUCUAAUGAAGUCACUAGACUGGAAAGGCUGUUCUAAGUUAAAUCUAGAACCCCUAUUGUUACUGACAUCCACAUUAAAUAUUGUAAGUGUUAAUGUAAAACAAAUGCAUGCUAUAAAUAAUUCACAAGUAAAUGUCAGCUAUUCAGGCAAGCCUGAACGCAGGUUUUAUAGUGAAUAAAUGUUGGAUACAUCUAGCA
rnacentral:lncRNA from 1 species